rnacentral:rRNA from 1 species
CGGACGGGUGAGUAACGCGUGGGGAACCUGCCUUACACAGGGGGAUAACAGUUAGAAAUGGCUGCUAAUACCGCAUAACCCGCUGGGGUCGCAUGACUCUGACGGAAAAGAUUGUAUCGGUGUAAGAUGGACCCGCGUCUGAUUAGCUGGUUGGUGAGGUAACGGCUCACCAAGGCGACGAUCAGUAGCCGACCUGAGAGGGUGAUCGGCCACAUUGGGACUGAGACACGGCCCAAACUCCUACGGAAGGCAGCAG